rnacentral:rRNA from 1 species
AGAGUUUGAUCCUGGCUCAGGACGAACGUUGGCGGCGUGCUUAACACAUGCAAGUCGAGCGGGGCUUAGUGAAAAGUUUACUUUUUACUUUGUCUAGCGGCGGACGGGUGAGUAACGCGUGGAUAAUCUGCCUGUAAGACAGGGAUAACGCCGGGAAACCGGUGCUAAUACCCGAUAACCUCUUUGGAUCGCAUGGUUUGAAGAGAAAAGGUGGCCUCUUUUGAAAGAUGAGUCUGCGUCCUAUCAGCUAGUUGGUGGGGUAAAAGCCUACCAAGGCGAAGACGGGUAGCCGGCCUGAGAGGGUGAACGGCCACACUGGGACUGAGACACGGCCCAGACUCCUACGGGAGGCAGCAGUGAGGAAUUUUCCGCAAUGGGCGCAAGCCUGACGGAGCGACGCCGCGUGAGGGAUGACGGCCUUCGGGUUGUAAACCUCUUUUAUUAGGGAAGAACAAGAUGACGGUACAAUAAGAGGAAGCCACGGCUAACUACGUGCCAGCAGCCGCGGUAAUACGUAGGUGGCAAACGUUGUCCGGAAUUACUGGGCGUAAAGGGCGAGUAGGUGGUUUAUUAAGUCAGAAGUGAAAACUCCAGGCUCAACUUGGAGACUGCUUCUGAAACUGGUAGACUUGAGUGCAAGAGAGGGAAGUGGAAUUCCUAGUGUAGCGGUGAAAUGCGUAGAUAUUAGGAGGAACACCAGUGGCGAAGGCGACUUCCUGGCUUGUAACUGACACUGAGGCGCGAAAGCGUGGGGAUCAAACAGGAUUAGAUACCCUGGUAGUCCACGCCGUAAACGAUGAGUGCUAGGUGUCGGGGGUAUCGACCCCCUCGGUGCCACAGCUAACGCAAUAAGUAUUCCGCCUGGGGAGUACGAUCGCAAGGUUGAAACUCAAAGGAAUUGACGGGGGCCCGCACAAGCGGAGGAACAUGUGGUUUAAUUCGAUGAUACGCGAGGAACCUUACCUGGGCUUGACAUCCCGUGAUAGCUAUGGAAACAUAGUCUUUCGCCUCUUCGGGAACUCUGACACAGGUGCUGCAUGGCUGUCGUCAGCUCGUGUCGUGAGAUGUUGGGUUAAGUCCCGUAACGAGCGCAACCCUUGUCCUUAGUUACCAGCACGUAAUGGUGGGCACUCUAAGGAGACUGCCGGUGAUAAACCGGAGGAAGGUGGGGAUGACGUCAAAUCAUCAUGCCCCUUACGACCAGGGCCACACACGUACUACAAUGCCCGGUACAGCGAGUUGCAAAGCCGCGAGGCAGAGCUAAUCUCUUAAAAACCGGGCCAAGUUCAGAUUGUAGGCUGCAAUUCGCCUCCGUGAAGCUGGAAUCGCUAGUAAACGCAGAUCAUCAUGCUGCGUUGAAUACGUUCUCGGGCCUUGUACACACCGCCCGUCACACCAUGGGAGCCAGUAACACCCGAAGCCGGUGAGCUAACUUAACGGAGGCAGCUGUCGAAGGUGGGAUUGGUGACUGGGGUGAAGUCGUAACAAGGUAACC